CAAAAGAACAGAAACGACUCCCACUGCUCCGACAAGUCCUUGGAUUACCCUCCUCCGAAUUUGCUCGUGAUCGGGGACGUCCCAACAACUGUGUUGCAACUGGUAGAAGACAGUUACAGCCAGCCGGGAAGUUGGAGAAUAAAAAAUAAGGGUGAACGUUCAAGUUGGGCGGGGUCUUCGCUUUCUCUGAUCCAUGACUCAUCCGGGUAGCCGUCGUUGCCCUGGGAAACCAGGAGACGCCGUGACUCGUGCGUCUUGUAUCUAUAGAAACGACAACAUGGCGGCGGUGUGAGUUCUGAGCGUUGGUCCCAGCGACCCGGCGAGCUGCACGAGUGGCCAGGGAAGGUAUCUGUCUUAGGAGACCGUCUCCUUUGGGAAGUCGUGACGGGGUCCCCUCAGUGUCCGUCGGAGAGCCCUGAGAGUCCAGAGGCAGAGGCUGUUUGUAGAAUGCCCUAUGGUUACAGCCAUUACUGAGCCAGGGAAGUACUACAAAGCCAUCCAACAGCAGAAAAGUAAUGGGGCCUUCCUCCCUGUCUCACCAGCUUGCAUCUCUUUGAUUCCAUCUGAAUGUUCACUUCCAAUUGAAGAGGAGGCCAGCCAUGUUCAGAGGCAACAAGUAGAGAGUAAAAGCCAGCUCCCAACUGGCAGGAACUCUUGGCUUAGCCAGAGAGCUUCCUUCGGACUUGUGUUCCCGGCACCCAGUGCUCAUUG
rnacentral:lncRNA from 1 species